UAUCGUAAUGUGGUGUAGUUGUUUUAUUUGUUCUUUUCUUUUUGGCUAUGAAGAAUUUGGCCUGUGUGGAAUUAGGUUGGAUUGUAGGCUACCUGCUUUCAUGCCUGUGGCCAGCUAUGAGGUCACUGAUGUCCGGACCUCUACUAUUUUUAGAAAAAAAAAAAUUCCAUAGGGAUUUAUUCUUUGUAAACUGCUAACACUGAAAACUACUAACUUUACCAUACUCUACAGAUUAGGUUUCAUAACUUAUAACAGUGGACUUCAUUAUGUGCUAUGUAGAUAACUUUUCUUUUGACCAUAUACAUUUAUGAGUUUAUGAUCAUGAAGUUUUCCUGUGUUUGGUUGAUCAUUGGCAAUGUUGGUGCGUAACAAGCUAAUUACAGCUAAGUUUGUUGAACACAUGCAGCAGUUGGGUUGUUUUAUUGAUAGACUCAUAGAUGUCUCCGCUGUGAAGUGUGCAUGACUUCUUCAGGGCAUCAUCAUCAGUGCAGGGCAUCAUCCGUGGACAUUCAAUUGGCAAAUACAAUAAUAAAAUACGGGUGGUUUCAAAUGUGUUGCUCACUAUACGAUUAUAUAGAAAUGCACACAGUCCCAUACUGGACUUAAAACCUCGGAACCUGGAGGCGGGGGUGUUAAUAAUUAAGCUGACUCAGAUGAGUUGGCAAAGCGCUUACAGGUUUUACGCUCAAUUUACAGUUACAUUUUUAUUUAGUCUUAGUUAUAGUAAUAAUAUAAUAUAUAAAUAUAAUAAUAAUCUUGAUAUGCUUCUAAUGGGUCCACCUAGGAUGGAUAGCAUGAUACUCAAUGUGACUAGCAGUAUAACUAUAUGUCAACAACAUGAUAUGUGUUCAAGAUAUUCUGCCCUUGUCUGCACGCAACAAUUCAUUAAUAAAAGUAUCGGCAGAACUACAUAAGGUAGACCAACAUAAGGUAACCAAGUUUAAGCACAGUCAAAAGGUCAAAGUCUCCUCAUUGCACAGCAGCCCUGCUUUGUUUUGGCUAAAACGUUGCAGUCUAACACCUGAGAGUUGUCUGUUGUCUUCAGGUGUGCUUAGGGGAGCAGGAAUUUGCAAGAGCAAGGCAGCCCUGGGACCACGAAACUCAAAGGUGUAUUGAAUGACCCUGGAAGUCGUCUUACUCCAACACACUCACAGUUCAUUUGAAAUAAACACAAACCAUCAAGUUAUUUACUACACAACUUCCAAGUACAGGUAAGAUUAAGUCCAGGGUACUAUGUGUUUAACCAGGCAUACAUUGGGAAUUGUAAUGUGUGUGUGUUUGUGGAGGGGGGGUCUGUGUUUUCAGUCAGGGUUGUUAAAAAGUAUGCCUGUGAUUGUAUUUAUUUAUUACACAUGAUGCACAUUUUUAAUAUAACUAUGAUUUUGUUAUUAUUUAUUCAGAAUACAUUUAUUAUAUUAUGUAUUUCUAUUUUUUUUUACUGAGCUGAACUAGGAGCGAGAUCUCAGCCAGCACACCCCAUGGCAAACUCAGAGGGAGGGAAUCAACCUGGACCUGUAUUUUCCAUCUCAAGAAAUGUCAAUGUUGAAUUAAGAGCUGACAAUGGGGGUCUUCUCAAUGCACCACAACUUACAAACUGCAAUAUUAUUGGGCCUGUUACAUUCAAUAAUGAGAUGGGCAACAGAAAAGAGGAUGCGAAUGAGGAUUCUGCACGUGUUUUUGAGAAAAUUUCGGAUGUCGUGAAAAAGAGACUGAAGAAACAAGUACUAUAUAUCGUGGAGGGUAAUGGCGAUAGACUGGAGAAGAAGCCCUUAAACCAAAUCUACACUAAAGUCUACAUCACAGAGGGAGAGGCUAGUGUUGUUAAUGAGCAUGAAAUAUGCCAGCUAGAUUCAGCUGCCAAGACUCAACCAAAUGGCAAGGAAAUUGAAUGCAACAAUAUCUUCAAACAAGAUAAAGCCAUCAGGACUGUGCUGACCAAAGGAACCGCUGGCAUAGGGAAAACAGUUAGUGUGCAUAAGUUUAUCCUUGACUGGGUGGAUGGCAAAGCCAAUCACGACAUAAAGCUCAUGUUGCUCUUACCCUUUCGGGAGAUCAGUUUACUUACAGGAGAAUAUAGUUUUCACAAACUUCUCAUCGAGCUCCACCCAGAACUUGCUGAGCUUAAGGAUCCAGAGAUCUACAACAGCAGUGAAACUGUCUUUAUCCUCGAUGGCCUGGAUGAGAGCAGAUUUCAGUUGGACUUUUCCAAAAAGCUAGUAGCAGACAUGAACAAGCACACCACAGUGGACGUCCUGAUCACAAGCCUCAUUAAAGGGAAGCUGAUGGACUUCGCUCUUCUUUGGAUAACCUCACGACCAGCAGCUGUCACCCGGGCCCUGUCUAAGCACAUCGACCAAGUUACUGAAGUCCGAGGUUUCAAUGACCCACAAAAAGAGGAAUAUUUCCGCAAGAGGAUCAGCAGCCCUGACCUUGCCAACAGCAUCAUCUCGCACAUCAAGUCAUCUCGGGUCCUCCAUAUCAUGUGCCAUAUCCCUCUGUUUUGCUGGAUCGCGGCAACCGUUUUUCAGAACAUGCUUAGUCGGGGUGACUACAAGGAAAUUCCCAAAAGCCUUACCAGUAUGUAUUGCCACUUUUUGCUAAUUCAGACUGACAUAGCACACCAGAAGAACGAGGAGGCAAAUGAAAUGAGCUUGCAGGAACUUCUAGAUUGUAACAGAGAAGUAAUAUUGAAAGUUGCUCAGCUGGCUUUUAAACAGAUGCACAAGGCCAGAUUUAUUUUUUCUGAAGAGGACCUUAAGGAAUGUGGAAUUGACGGGAAUGAUUCCCUUGUCUCUGGGAUGUGCACAGAGAUCUUGAAGGUAGAACCUACCUGUUAUGUGAACACCUUCCACAAGAAGAUCUACUGCUUUGUGCAUCUGAGCAUCCAGGAGUUUCUUGCUGCUUUCUAUGCAUUUCACUGCUAUAUAAGCAAGAACCUGAACCCUAUCAUGACCUUUCUGGCUGAGAGGACAAAAGCUGUGCCUAAGCAUCUCAGACUGGAGGACUUUCUGAAAAUUGCAGUCAACAAAGCACUGGACAGUAAAAAUGGACACUUAGACCUGUUUGUCCGCUUUCUUCAUGGCAUCUCACUGGAGACCAAUCAAAGACUUUUAGGUGGUCUGCUGCCCCAUGUAGAGUCAGAUUCAGAGACAAUGAGAAAAAUCAUCGGCAACCUGAAAAAAAUGCAGCGGAGGAAUAUCUCAGCAGAACGUUGCAUGAACCUCUUCCACUGCCUCAUUGAAAUGAACGACUACUCGGUCCAUGAGGAAGUCCAAGGAUUUUUGAAUUCAGAGAAAGGCUCUGUCAAAGUGUUGUCACUAGUACACUGCUCUGCACUAGCCUACAUGCUUCAGUUCUCUGAUGGCGUGCAGGAAGAGUUUGACCUGAGGAAGUACAACACAUCUGACGAGGGACGCAAGAGGCUGGUUCCAGCAGUGAAAAGCUGCCGUAAGGCUAUAGAACUCCUGUGUCAUUGUGGCCUCAGCAUUACAGUCUGUAAACUCAGCACUGAGAGAGUUGGACCUAAGUGACAAUGAACUUCAGGAUUCUGGGGUGAAGAUUCUCUGUGCUGGACUGAAGAGUACAAACUGCAAACUGGAGAAACUGAGAUUAUCUUGCUGUGGCGUCACAAGGACUGGCUGUGAGGCACUGGCCUCUGCUCUUCGCUCCAACCCUUCUUACCUGAGAGAGCUCGACCUGAGUCGCAACUACCCAGGGGUCGAGGGAAAGGCCACACU